rnacentral:lncRNA from 1 species
AAUCAUUAUCAUCUCUUGGAAAGGAAAAUUGGUUGCAUUGAGGAAGGUAAGUAUGAAAUGAAAUUUUAACUUUCUCCUCUAUAUAUGUUAUAAACUUUUAAUAUCAAGCAUAUAUUUAUUAAAUUGAAAAGUAAUGAAAGUAAAGAAAUAACGGUAUUAUAAAGAUACCUCUAGGGGAUCCCUGGAGAUAUUGAGAGAGCACAAACAAGGGGAGCAGAAGCAGAGAGACAGGGAGAAACAGACUCUCUGCCAAGCAGGGACCUUGAUGUGGGGCUCAAUCCCAGGACCUGGAGAUCAUGACCUGACCUGAAGGCAGAUGUCCAACUGGCUGAGCCACCUAGAUACCCCAGCAACAGAGCAAAUUGUAAGUCAGUACCUUGCUCUUAGAGUACUCUGAUGUUCAUGUAGUUAUGACAUAAUUAAUGAGUAACUAAACAAAACAUGCAGCCACUACCAUUCUAGAAACUUCAACUGAGUAAUCCCAUCUCAAACUAAAUUUGGCUUGGUUCCUAUGAGAAGAGAACCAAAAUUGGAAAAUGCUAUGUGUGGGUCACAUAAUAUAAUGUGCUUACAGCUGCCUUUCAAACCCCUGCAACACUCCUAAAAUAUGAAAAGGCCCUGAGAUGGGUUUGGGAAAGCAUGGAGUCCUCAAAAGAAUACAAAUUGGGUCCUUCUUUAGAGGAUGGAGCUUCAAGUUUAGCUCACUCUGGUUCCCUCAUUUGAAAACUUUAGUUUCUUGAUAUUAUUAUCUGAAGGUAUCUGGUAUUUUAUAAGACAAUAUUCCCUAAACUUCUUUUAGUCUUUGUAUCACUGUAGUCAGGCAAAGCAAACAAACAAGAUAGGUGCUGAUGUUGAAGAGAAAUCUGUAAAACAUCAAGCCUUUAUUAAUGAUAACAUAUAAAGUAUUUUGUAUUACAAAGACCAAUAUAUUAAUGUUUGCAUUUUGUAGAAACGUACACUCUUUUAAAGGCCAGCCAGAAUGCAGUCUUUAGGUUAAAUUAUAUAGGACAGCAUUUGCUUCACCAUACCAUAGGAUGUCAAUUGGGGUUAUGUGCAAAAGCUCAAGUAAAUUAGGAAAUUCCAGUGUUAAAAGUAAGUUAAACAGUUUUGUCUGCUACAGAAAAAUUUCAAAACACCAAUGUCUCAUAUACCUCUAAGAAUGCAUUCUGGUACUUUCCAACCUACUUUGACAAUGGAAACCUUUGUUUGACAAUAUGGUGCAAAACCCCAAUCUAGUAGUUCAUGAGAUACACUUUGGGAAACAUAGUUUCAAGAGGAAGAAUUAUACAUGGAGGUGGAAAAUCUAGCUCUUUAACAAAGCCUCUAUAGUCUUUGAAUCCAAUGGUGUCACUAACAGAUUAAUAGCAAGUAUUCAUAAAGUAGCCUCUAACUUUAUAUUGCAAUGGGAAGAGAAGUGUCUUAUCUUUGGAAAAAUGUGGUAAAUUAAUGUUCUUUUUAACAUCUGAACUUUCAAGAAUGGAGUAGCACAUCUUUUAACUUUAAAACUUAAGAUAGUAUGAACAAAUUUCUUUGAGGUGAAAUAUGCCUUGAUAUGUUUUGAAUUUUUUAAACAAAAGCAAAUAUUACUCAUAUGAAAUGUUUUGUUUAGUAACUCACACCCAGUAUCAGUUAAAUGUGGCAAUCCACAUUUUUACCUAUUUUUUGAGAUAUCAGUUUUCC